AUUUAUGUCUCUUAAACUUCAUAUGACACAAUACACAUCUUAAAUAAAUAACCCAGUCUGUUGCUAUGUAUUAAAAACAGUCCCAGGUGUGGUGUGUGUUGUGGAGCGAAGCCAGUUGCUGGGCUUGGACCCGCCAAUCCCAGUGCCGGUGGGGAGACCGCUUCCCAAGCCUCUGCUGUGCCCCUGUGCCUGAGCUGAACAGCAGCGCCAUGGCCCCGGAGGGCAGCAGGAAGGCCAGGGGCUGGGAUGACGGUGACUUCGGGGCGCUCUGUGGCUGGCACGCCUGGGUGCCUCCAACCGGAGGUGCUUCCUGCCUCCUCACCCUUGGCUUCUCGACAAUUAGUUUUCAGGUCAGUCCGGAGCAUCGUGGGUGCUGGAAAAGCCUCUGGGGCGAUGUGGUGGGGCUGAGCUCCGUCUUGGUUUCCAGCCUGGUUGUUGGCCUUCUUGAUGUUGUGUGGCGCUGGCUCUCUGCUUCUCUGCUGGCCGGCACUGUCUGGAAAGCCAGGUGCGGAAGGCAGAUAGGACAGAAGGCUCUUUGGAGCCGGCUUUCACGCACGGAGUCAGGGCCCGAGUGGGACUUACGGAACUUGGUCCCCCGUAGCUGACCCUGGGCAGCUCAGCUCCUUGUGUAUGAGGCGGAUCAGGAACUGCACCAAAACAAAGGUGAGCCCACCUGUUACUGGAGCAGGCACAGGGUGGCCCGCGCCGUGGGCACCAUGAGGACCUGGCCCGCAAGGCCUGGGCGGGUGGCUCUCUCCCCACAGCACCUUCCCU
rnacentral:lncRNA from 1 species